rnacentral:rRNA from 1 species
UUGAUCAUGGCUCAGAUUGAACGCUGGCGGCAUGCCUUACACAUGCAAGUCGAACGGCAGCAUGAUCUAGCUUGCUAGAUUGAUGGCGAGUGGCGAACGGGUGAGUAAUACAUCGGAACGUGCCCUGUAGUGGGGGAUAACUAGUCGAAAGAUUAGCUAAUACCGCAUACGACCUGAGGGUGAAAGUGGGGGACCGCAAGGCCUCAUGCUAUAGGAGCGGCCGAUGUCUGAUUAGCUAGUUGGUGAGGUAAAGGCUCACCAAGGCGACGAUCAGUAGCUGGUCUGAGAGGACGAUCAGCCACACUGGGACUGAGACACGGCCCAGACUCCUACGGGAGGCAGCAGUGGGGAAUUUUGGACAAUGGGGGCAACCCUGAUCCAGCAAUGCCGCGUGUGUGAAGAAGGCCUUCGGGUUGUAAAGCACUUUUGUCCGGAAAGAAAUCGCACUUACUAAUAUUAGGUGUGGAUGACGGUACCGGAAGAAUAAGGACCGGCUAACUACGUGCCAGCAGCCGCGGUAAUACGUAGGGUCCAAGCGUUAAUCGGAAUUACUGGGCGUAAAGCGUGCGCAGGCGGUUGUGCAAGACCGAUGUGAAAUCCCCGGGCUUAACCUGGGAAUUGCAUUGGUGACUGCACGGCUAGAGUGUGUCAGAGGGGGGUAGAAUUCCACGUGUAGCAGUGAAAUGCGUAGAGAUGUGGAGGAAUACCGAUGGCGAAGNCAGCCCCCUGGGAUANCACUGACGCUCAUGCACGAAAGCGUGGGAGCAAACAGGAUUAGAUACCCUGGUAGUCCACGCCCUAAACGAUGUCAACUAGUUGUUGGGGAUUCAUUUCCUUAGUAACGUAGCUAACGCGUGAAGUUGACCGCCUGGGGAGUACGGUCGCAAGAUUAAAACUCAAAGGAAUUGACGGGGACCCGCACAAGCGGUGGAUGAUGUGGAUUAAUUCGAUGCAACGCGAAAAACCUUACCUACCCUUGACAUGCCACUAACGAAGCAGAGAUGCAUUAGGUGCUCGAAAGAGAAAGUGGACACAGGUGCUGCAUGGCUGUCGUCAGCUCGUGUCGUGAGAUGUUGGGUUAAGUCCCGCAACGAGCGCAACCCUUGUCUCUAGUUGCUACGAAAGGGCACUCUAGAGAGACUGCCGGUGACAAACCGGAGGAAGGUGGGGAUGACGUCAAGUCCUCAUGGCCCUUAUGGGUAGGGCUUCACACGUCAUACAAUGGUGCAUACAGAGGGUUGCCAAGCCGCGAGGUGGAGCUAAUCCCAGAAAAUGCAUCGUAGUCCGGAUCGUAGUCUGCAACUCGACUACGUGAAGCUGGAAUCGCUAGUAAUCGCGGAUCAGCAUGCCGCGGUGAAUACGUUCCCGGGUCUUGUACACACCGCCCGUCACACCAUGGGAGUGGGUUUUGCCAGAAGUAGUUAGCCUAACCGCAAGGGGG